rnacentral:rRNA from 1 species
UGCAGUCGAACGAUGAUGCCCAGCUUGCUGGGCGGAUUAGUGGCGAACGGGUGAGUAAUACGUGAGUAACCUGCCCUUGACUCUGGGAUAAGCCUGGGAAACUGGGUCUAAUACUGGAUACUACCUCUUACCGCAUGGUGGGUGGUGGAAAGGGUUUUACUGGUUUUGGAUGGGCUCACGGCCUAUCAGCUUGUUGGUGGGGUAAUGGCUCACCAAGGCGACGACGGGUAGCCGGCCUGAGAGGGUGACCGGCCACACUGGGACUGAGACACGGCCCAGACUCCUACGGGAGGCAGCAGUGGGGAAUAUUGCACAAUGGGCGGAAGCCUGAUGCAGCGACGCCGCGUGAGGGAUGACGGCCUUCGGGUUGUAAACCUCUUUCAGUAGGGAAGAAGCGAGAGUGACGGUACCUGCAGAAGAAGCGCCGGCUAACUACGUGCCAGCAGCCGCGGUAAUACGUAGGGCGCAAGCGUUGUCCGGAAUUAUUGGGCGUAAAGAGCUCGUAGGCGGUUUGUCGCGUCUGCUGUGAAAGCCCGGGGCUCAACCCCGGGUCUGCAGUGGGUACGGGCAGACUAGAGUGCAGUAGGGGAGACUGGAAUUCCUGGUGUAGCGGUGAAAUGCGCAGAUAUCAGGAGGAACACCGAUGGCGAAGGCAGGUCUCUGGGCUGUUACUGACGCUGAGGAGCGAAAGCAUGGGGAGCGAACAGGAUUAGAUACCCUGGUAGUCCAUGCCGUAAACGUUGGGCA